UAGGGAAUCUUCGGCAAUGGACGAAAGUCUGACCGAGCAACGCCGCGUGAGUGAAGAAGGUUUUCGGAUCGUAAAACUCUGUUGUUAGAGAAGAACAAGGACGUUAGUAACUGAACGUCCCCUGACGGUAUCUAACCAGAAAGCCACGGCUAACUACGUGCCAGCAGCCGCGGUAAUACGUAGGUGGCAAGCGUUGUCCGGAUUUAUUGGGCGUAAAGCGAGCGCAGGCGGUUUCUUAAGUCUGAUGUGAAAGCCCCCGGCUCAACCGGGGAGGGUCAUUGGAAACUGGGAGACUUGAGUGCAGAAGAGGAGAGUGGAAUUCCAUGUGUAGCGGUGAAAUGCGUAGAUAUAUGGAGGAACACCAGUGGCGAAGGCGGCUCUCUGGUCUGUAACUGACGCUGAGGCUCGAAAGCGUGGGGAGCAAACAGGAUUANAUANCCNUGGUAGUCCACCGCCUAAAACGAAGAGUGCUAAUUGGAGGAUGUCCNCCCGUCCUUCNGUGCUGCAGCAAAUNCAUUACCCNCUGNGNNUGGGGAGUACGACCGCAAGGUUG
rnacentral:rRNA from 1 species